rnacentral:rRNA from 1 species
AUGGAGAGGGGCUGGUGGAGGAGAAAGGUAGUAGAAUGUUGUCGCCAUUAUUCCAACCCACAUCAUUGGAUCAGAGAUUUGUUUCGCUCAUUGCCAUGCCGCAAGUUUCCGACAUUGCCGUGCCUGCACAUCGUCGACUUCGUCGGAAAUCCGUGUGCACGUACUCCACCAUCUGCCGGAACUUCUUCUGACCUGAGUAUUUUUAAGGUAUAUAGUUUGUAUGACUUUGCACAAUACAAGAUAUUUUUUUUGCUAUGUGGUCCUCGGUGUCACCUUUGUAAGGAUUGCUUCAUUUGUAGAUAUCUACGGCAAAAUCGAAGUCGUCAAAUCGGAAGUGAUGGGUGA